AUUCCCUCUCUUGCUAUUUCUCUCUGUCAUAAAUAAACAAAAUCUUUAAAAAAAUAAAUAAAAUCAUCAAAGUAGGUUGCAAAAUGUUAGAUACGUUAUCAUCCCAAUGUUGCAAAAGUGGUAGCGAUGCCAAGACUGAAGACAGAAGGCGAUACAGAGCUCACUUCCUUCUCUUGGGAAUAGGAGGAAUUUUUAUUUUCUUCUUCAUCCUUUUCUGAAGUUUUCAAAAUAUAUGCUAUGACACUGUGUGACAUAUGCAAGUCGCAAUCAUAAUUAUAAUAAAACAUUUAAAAGCUUCAUAAGGGAAACAGUCCUGGUCUUGUUACCUGGUGCCCAUCUGAACGGAACAGCCCAGGGUUCCAAGAAUGGAAGGUUUGGCGUGCGUUCUCUCUGGACUUCUCGCUCUGUUUCUCUCUUUCCCUCCGUCUCUCCUUCCUGUCGGUCUCCGUCUUUCUUCCUUUCUCUCUCUCCCUCACUUCUUCUCUCUCUGCCUCUCUCUCUCCUCUCUCUGUCUCUCUCUGCUUCUCUCUCUGUCUCUGUCUCUCCUUCUCUCUGUCUCUGCGUCUCUCUCCUGGCUGCCAGUCACUUAUCUCCCUCUGGCCGUUCCCAAAUGGUCCUGGUUUCCAGUUUCUUGGCUCAGAGUCUUCUUGUUUUCCUGAGUUUUGCCGACGGCGGAUUGACAGUGACUGACACCAUGCAGAACCCGGCGGCAGGCGGCAGAGAAGGAAACUCAGCUGAAAGAGAAAUGGAGUAAAGAUGUUAACUUAUGUCAGGAGAGCCUGCUGAUUGGUUCUGUCUCGCACGGUAUUAUUUUAAAUCGAUGGCCGCGGCUGCAAAAUCAGAUAAUUUCUCAGAAGACUUGCAUGGAAGCAUAUUCUACGGUUGUUUAUGUUUGAGAGACGGAGGAUUACAUCAUUACGUCACGGACAUCUCUUGUAGGGUCGGAUGUUGCUUGCUUUGGAGACAUCAUUUCUCGGCAGCGGACUGGAGCGGUGACCCAUGUGUUUGCAGUCCUUGUGUGACGUGCCAUCCCGUUACUAGCUGUUUCUGCUGCUGUUGGGAACCCUGUGCUGCACUCAGCGUGGCCCCCUUCCUUCUGAGUUCGAUCUGGGAGUCGGAGACUAGGACGUUAAACAUUAGGUACAACAUAUAG
rnacentral:lncRNA from 1 species